rnacentral:rRNA from 1 species
AUGAACGCUAGCUACAGGCUUAACACAUGCAAGUCGAGGGGCAGCAUGAUUGAAGCUUGCUUCAAUUGAUGGCGACCGGCGCACGGGUGAGUAACACGUAUCCAACCUGCCGAUAACUCGGGGAUAGCCUUUCGAAAGAAAGAUUAAUACCCGAUAGCAUAGUAUUUCCGCAUGGUUUCACUAUUAAAGAAUUUCGGUUAUCGAUGGGGAUGCGUUCCAUUAGAUAGUUGGCGGGGUAACGGCCCACCAAGUCAACGAUGGAUAGGGGUUCUGAGAGGAAGGUCCCCCACAUUGGAACUGAGACACGGUCCAAACUCCUACGGGAGGCAGCAGUGAGGAAUAUUGGUCAAUGGACGAGAGUCUGAACCAGCCAAGUAGCGUGAAGGAUGACUGCCCUAUGGGUUGUAAACUUCUUUUAUACGGGAAUAAAGUGGAGUAUGCAUACUCCUUUGUAUGUACCGUAUGAAUAAGGAUCGGCUAACUCCGUGCCAGCAGCCGCGGUAAUACGGAGGAUCCGAGCGUUAUCCGGAUUUAUUGGGUUUAAAGGGAGCGUAGGCGGGUGCUUAAGUCAGUUGUGAAAGUUUGCGGCUCAACCGUAAAAUUGCAGUUGAUACUGGGUACCUUGAGUGCAGCAUAGGUAGGCGGAAUUCGUGGUGUAGCGGUGAAAUGCUUAGAUAUCACGAAGAACUCCUAUUGCGAAGGCAGCUUACUGGACUGUAACUGACGCUGAUGCUCGAAAGUGUGGGUAUCAAACAGGAUUAGAUACCCUGGUAGUCCACACAGUAAACGAUGAAUACUCGCUGUUGGCGAUACACAGUCAGCGGCCAAGCGAAAGCAUUAAGUAUUCCACCUGGGGAGUACGCCGGCAACGGUGAAACUCAAAGGAAUUGACGGGGGCCCGCACAAGCGGAGGAACAUGUGGUUUAAUUCGAUGAUACGCGAGGAACCUUACCCGGGCUUAAAUUGCAGAUGAAUUACGGUGAAAGCCGUAAGCCGCAAGGCAUCUGUGAAGGUGCUGCAUGGUUGUCGUCAGCUCGUGCCGUGAGGUGUCGGCUUAAGUGCCAUAACGAGCGCAACCCUUAUCUAUAGUUACUAUCAGGUCAUGCUGAGGACUCUAUGGAGACUGCCGUCGUAAGAUGUGAGGAAGGUGGGGAUGACGUCAAAUCAGCACGGCCCUUACGUCCGGGGCUACACACGUGUUACAAUGGGGGGUACAGAAGGCAGCUACCUGGCGACAGGAUGCUAAUCCCAAAAACCUCUCUCAGUUCGGAUUGGAGUCUGCAACCCGACUCCAUGAAGCUGGAUUCGCUAGUAAUCGCGCAUCAGCCACGGCGCGGUGAAUACGUUCCCGGGCCUUGUACACACCGCCCGUCAAGCCAUGAAAGCCGGGGGUACCUGAAGUACGUAACCGCAAGGAGCGUCCUAGGGUAAAACUGGUGAUUGGGGCU